rnacentral:ncRNA from 2 species
GGGGGGUUCGGAGGCGACGAACUGUGUCACCCAAUAUGGGCACCAAGGGGCACAGGGAGCUAGUGGUGCAACCGGCCGAACACCGC